CCGCGCCUGCGGCGGGUGCAGCACGCUUUUUUGAAACACAAGCCUUGCAGGCGGCCCGAGCGUGUACCACCUGGUGAUCGGCAAUUUUGCCGAUUCAAAAUCAUUCC
rnacentral:ncRNA from 1 species